UGGGGCGUGGCCAAGAGGUAAGGCGUCGGGUUUUCAUCCCGCUAUUCGGAGGUUCGAAUCCUUCCGUCCC
rnacentral:tRNA from 1 species